rnacentral:rRNA from 1 species
AUGAACCUCGCGGUGGCCGCCGUCAGCUCUAUCAUCCCCAUGCUGGGCAGGCUCCUCACCAAGGAGUACAACCUACAGAAGAGCGCCAAGGAAGAUGUCAAGUAUCUGCAGAGAGAGCUCAUGAGCAUGCACGCCGCCCUGAGAGCCAUCGCCGAGGUGCCGCCGGACCAACUUCCCUGGCAGGACAUGCUCUGGGCCGGCGACAUCACGGAGCUGUCCCACGACAUCAAGGAUCUCUUGGAGAGCUUCGAUGCGUGCGUCGCCGGCUCCGUGCCUCCCCCCGACGCGGGUUACUUCCAGGUGCUCAAGGUAAAAAUGGCCAACUUGUUCAAGAUGGCCAAGGUUCGCCGUGAGAUUGCCACCGCGGUGAAAGGUGUCAAAGAGCAUGUGCAAGAAGUGGCCAACCGAGAUGACAGGUAUAGAUGUCGUGGCGGUGGUGCAGCCCCACGGACUACAACCACCAUCGACCCUCUUCUGUUGGUUCUGUACGGAAACCAGAAGACGGUUGGCAUGGAUGCUGCAAGGGACAAGAUUAUGGCCAAGUUGGUACAUGGUGCAACUGGGCUUCAGAUACUCUCCAUAGUUGGGUUUGGAGGGCUGGGUAAGACCACUCUGGCUAAAGCAGUAUAUGAUAUGGCUGCAAAAAUAAAAUACGAUUGUAGGGUUUUUGUGUCAGUCUCUCGGAAUCCUGACAUAAGAAAGAUUUUUAGAAAACUGCUCUUCCAGUUUGAUGUGGAAACGUAUAUACGUUUCAAUCAAACGGAGUUGGAUGAAACGCAGCUCAUCAGUUUACUGCGACAAUCGAUAGGGGCCAAGAGGUACUUAAUCGUCGUUGAUGAUAUAUGGGAUACCAAUGCAUGGGGGCUAAUCAGUUUAGCUUUUAUGGAUAAUAACACCAGAAGUAGAAUAAUCACAACAACCCGCAAUUUUGAUGUCUCUAGAGCAUGUUGCUCUUUUGAUAAUGAGCUUAUCCAUACAAUGGAACCUCUCUCUGAAGGUGACUCCAAAAAGCUCUUCUACGAGAGAAUAUUCGCAAGCGAGACUGGAUGUCCUCCUGAACUGGAGCAGGUCUCCACAGAGAUCUUGAAGAAAUGUGCUGGAGUGCCAUUAGCCAUUAUUGCUCUAGCUGGCCAUUUGACAAGUAAUCAGCAGAUAAAACCAGAAGGUCAAUGGCAUGACUUACUUAAUUCUAUUGGUCGUGGGCUUACAAAUGGUGGUAGUGUGGAGCACAUGAAGAAGAUAUUAUCAUUCAGCUAUUAUGAUCUCCCAUCCCAUCUGAAGACUUGUUUAUUGUAUCUAAGUAUAUUCCCAGAAGACUAUUACAUUGACAAGACUCGGUUGGUGAAAAGAUGGAUAGCCGAAGGGUUUAUCCAAGGUGAAGACUUAUUUGAGCUCGGUGAGAGCUAUUUCAAUGAGCUUGUCAAUAGAAGUAUGAUCCAACCGAUAAACAUUGACACCGAUGGUAGGGCAAAAGGCUGUCGUGUCCAUGACAUGAUGCUUGAUCUCAUAUGUGAUUUGUCGAGUGAAAAUAAUUUUAUCAGUAUAUUGGAUACUAUCAAGGGAGACUGGUCUUUCAAAAGAAAUAUGCGCAGGCUGUCCCUCCAGAAGAGAAUGACAGAGCUCACCAGCACUCAACUGUCUACAACGAGCAUGUCACAAGUGAGAUCCUUCACCGUUUUUAGUCCUGCUAUUAAUCAGAUGCUUUCUCUUUCACUAUUUAAAGUUUUGCGUGUGUUGGAUCUAGAAGAUUGUAAUCUUGGAAAUGAUCGUGGUCUUAACCUCCAUUGUGUCGGGAAUUUGUUACAACUGAGGUACCUAGGAUUAAGGGACACAAAACUCCGUGAGAUCCCGACGGAAAUAGGAAAUCUCCGGCUGUUACAGAUAUUGGACUUGCAUGGGGUAGAUGCAGAAAAAUUGCCAACGGGUGUUGUUGGCCUAAGUUAUCUGAUGUUUCUACAUCUUAGAGAAAAUACAGACCUACCAGUAGGCUAUAGGAAUUUGACGUUCCUCCAAGAGCUAACCAAAGCAAACUUCAGUGAUGAUAUGGAAGGGCUGCGCUUCCUGACAGAGCUGAGGGUGCUUUCCUUUAGUUGGCCAUCAGGGUGUGGUCCCGACAAAAUUGAUAUUUUGGUAAACUCCCUAAGGAACCUGGAAAAACUACAAAGCCUAGAGAUUACAUCUGAGAGCAUUGAUCUCAUGGAGAGCAGCUGGAUGCCCUAUCCAGCGCAACAACUCCGUAGGCUUGUGUUGCAUGGAUGGUUUCAUAAUCUGCCAGGAUUUAUUAGUUCUUCAUGGCAUCCCCGCCUCUCCUACCUAUGGAUAGAAGUCCGCAAACUGCAACCGUGGGACAUUCAUGACCUUGGGACUCUGCCAGCUCUUCGUUAUCUCUACCUGAAGUCAAUCUUGGACACUGCCAUGGAAGAGCGUGCCACGCAAAGCUCCCCGCUUAAUAUUGAUGGAUUCCCUUGCGCGACAGAGUGCUGGUUCGAAGGUGUUACAGUGAAUCCAUUAGGGUUCCGGCCAGGAACUAUGCCUAUGGUUCGAUGCCUUGCGUUCGGUGCCCAAGUGUGGAACAUCCUCGAUAUACGUCAUUCGAUAAAGCACCUAGGUCCAGAUGGCUUGGAGUUGGACUACUUGAGCUGGAGCAUAAUGCACCUCUCUUCGCUCGAGCAACUCUCCGUUGAUCUACAUGGCGAGGAGGCUAGCAGCGCAAGGUAUACUAGAGCGGAGGCCGCGCUGAAGCACGCGACGUACAACCAUCCCAACCGUCCCAAGGUCAACAUCUGGAGUCCUAGAGGCUGA